UACAGAGGGUGCGAGCGUUGUCCGGAAUCACUGGGCGUAAAGGGCGCGUAGGCGGUGUCGCAAGUCGGUAGUGAAAUCUCCAGGCUCAACUUGGAGUCUGCUGCCGAAACUGCGGUGCUUGAGUAUGGGAGAGGUGAGUGGAAUUCCCGGUGUAGCGGUGAAAUGCGUAGAUAUCGGGAAGAACACCUGUGGCGAAAGCGGCUCACUGGACCAUAACUGACGCUGAGGCGCGAAAGCUAGGGGAGCAAACAGG
rnacentral:rRNA from 1 species